rnacentral:rRNA from 1 species
UGGGGAAUAUUGGACAAUGGGCGAAAGCCUGAUCCAGCCAUGCCGCGUGUGUGAAGAAGGUCUUCGGAUUGUAAAGCACUUUAAGUUGGGAGGAAGGGCAGUAAGCGAAUACCUUGCUGUUUUGACGUUACCGACAGAAUAAGCACCGGCUAACUCUGUGCCAGCAGCCGCGGUAAUACAGAGGGUGCAAGCGUUAAUCGGAAUUACUGGGCGUAAAGCGCGCGUAGGUGGUUCGUUAAGUUGAAUGUGAAAGCCCCGGGCUCAACCUGGGAACUGCAUCCAAAACUGGCGAGGUGGAGUAGGGCAGAGGGUGGUGGAAUUUCCUGUGUAGCGGUGAAAUGCGUAGAUAUAGGAAGGAACACCAGUGGCGAAGGCGACCACCUGGGCUCAUACUGACACUGAGGUGCGAAAGCGUGGGGAGCAAACAGG